CCUACGGGCGGCAGCAGUGGGGAAUAUUGCACAAUGGGCGCAAGCCUGAUGCAGCCAUGCCGCGUGUGUGAAGAAGGCCUUCGGGUUGCAAAGCACUUUCAGCGGGGAGGAAGGCGUUAAGGUUAAUAACCUUGGCGAUUGACGUUACCCGCAGAAGAAGCACCGGCUAACUCCGUGCCAGCAGCCGCGGUAAUACGGAGGGUGCAAGCGUUAAUCGGAAUUACUGGGCGUAAAGCGCACGCAGGCGGUCUGUCAAGUCGGAUGUGAAAUCCCCGGGCUCAACCUGGGAACUGCAUUCGAAACUGGCAGGCUAGAGUCUUGUAGAGGGGGGUAGAAUUACAGGUGUAGCGGUGAAAUGCGUAGAGAUCUGGAGGAAUACCGGUGGCGAAGGCGGCCCCCUGGACAAAGACUGACGCUCAGGUGCGAAAGCGUGGGGAGCAAACAGGAUUAGAUACCCGAGUAGUC
rnacentral:rRNA from 1 species